rnacentral:lncRNA from 1 species
UCCGGCGGAUUUGAGUGAAAUUUGAGCUCUUCACGGCCUAAUUGGCCUUAGUUGCAGGUAUAAAAGUUGUUCCACUCAAUGAGAUCUUCAUUUUUGUAAAUUUUGGUAAUUUUUUAAAAUAGUUGGAUUUUCCGGUGAGUCGGGGCGGCUGAUUGCCACCCACGGUGGCGCGUGGCCAAGGGGCCAUCGAUGUUAUUCUUAGGUUAAUUAGAUAUGUUCAGUUUAGUUUUGGUAAUUGUAUGAUGUAGGUUGAUUGUUGGAAUCUAAAUUCUCUACGUUACAUUAAUAGGUCAUUGUAUAAAUCGACGAUUCGACUAUGUAAUAUUUGAGGACCAUAGGAACUUACGGAUUGGGAAUCUGAUAUACGAAUCUUCCUGAAUUGGAUUUGUAAGUUCAUAAAAUAAAAUGUUGACCGCCACUUGGUUUUGGCAAUUGGCGGAGAUCCGACUGUUGGAUCGUAAUGAAACCUUAAGAUGUUGUUCUAGAAGUAUAAUGUGGAUCUUUGGAAGCAACAGAUUGAAAAUCCGUGAUGCAGAUCUUCCAAAUUUAAUUAUGUAGGGAUGCGUUUUAUGUAAAUUAUGUAUUUUAUCGGUCAGAACUCUAAGACGUGAUUUGAUAAUUGGUCAUAGGCGACGAUGGUUCAUGAUGUCUUGAUAUGCAUGCUAGGGAAUCGUAGUGCAGACCUCAGGUGAGUGGGUCUUCUCCUUUCUAUCGUAUAUUAUAUAUAUAUAUAUAUAUAUAUAUAUAUAUAUAUAUAUAUAAUUGACAAUUCCAUAGACGUUUGUAAAUUGAAUUAUUGCAUAUAAUUAUUGUAAACUACGAAUGGCUUGAUCCCUGUUGAGGGUACGUAGGCAGUCUAACGAGACGUUAGAUGCAGCCAAGUGAGACUAAAUAAUUGAGGCAAUAGUCUUGUGUAGGGAAUCGAGUAAUGUGAGGGACAUUGGUAGAAAAUGUGAGAGUGUAAUUAUUCCCGAAAAUAAUUAGUUCGAGAGUAGGGCGUUACAGCCUAUGCAUUUUUAUACCACAUAAUAUAUAUAUAUAUAUAUGUAUGUAUGUAUGUAUAUAUAUAAUUGAUGAUGCUAUGUCAUGGGUGAGUAUUAGAUUGCAUUAUGCUUUAUCUAUAUGUAUAUUACCUGCACAUAAUUAUUGUGAACACUUGAAGUGCAAAGGUGAACGCAGGACGCCCAGGUAAGUUUAUGUAAGUUUAUGGUAUUAGUUGAAAUGAUGGAGUUAUGGCAUGACUACAUGCAUGUUUUAAGCAACUCCGACACUGUCGUACGGGUUGCCCAUGAAUCGUACAUAUUAUGUUGAGAUACAUUGAGAGCUCAUAAACCUGCACCCCGAUGUUAGUGCUCCUGCCUGUGGCCAGGGUAUAGUCCUUCACAUGAUGUUCACCUCCUGCACCUUAUGCUCACCUUGGAUCCAAGGUAGGUGCACAGUCCUGUCAUGCAGACCACUAUAGGUGGUUCCGACUCGUAGGUGACCCGCGAUUAUUCGCACAGCCUUCACGUGAUCGUAGCACUUGAGUGUAUUUAUUUACACCUAGUCCUGUCGUACAGACCACUUUAGGUGGUUCUGACUAGUGUGCAUGUAUACUUAUUGAGCUUUGGAUAAGUCGUACAGGUCACUAGAGGUGACUCCAACUUAUGAGCUAGCAUAUGUGAUGAAAUAUGUGAUAAGCUAGCAUAUGUGAUGAAAUAUGUGAUGAGCUAGCAUAUGUGAUAAGAUAUAGAUAAGUCGUAUAGGUCACAAGAGGUGACUUCGACUUAUAUGCUAGCGUUGAUUGAUAAGAUAUGGGUGCAGUCGUACAAGUCACCAUAAGUGACUCCGAUUUGCGUGCUAAUGUGGGUUAUUAAUCACAUGAUUAUUGAUAUUGCUGAUGAGAUGCUGUGUUGUAGUAUAAUUAUGGAAUUAUAGUUGAUAUACUCUUGAUUUCACAUUGAUACGUGGUAUGAUUUUUCUAGAAACUAUACAAGUGUUGUAGCGAGGGGUUAUAUUGUUUUAUAUGGUUUCUAUUAAAAUUUUAUCUCUAGGGCCACUCACCUUUGUUUUCUUUUCACCCUUCAGGUUUUAUUAGCUGUGCUUUCUUAUCGUCGAAGAUUCGUGGCGAUUCUUAGUAUUGGAGAUUAUUUCGAGGGUACGAUUCUUAAUCCUCUACUGUACUUACUUAUGCUCUAACGUCACGUGUUAAGUGGGUUCCUUCCCGCUCACCAGCGCACUUUGGUAUUUAGGCACUCUUAGGUUUAAAUUUAUUCACAUUUUUUCACAACAUCACACUUUAUGGCUUCGUCACCUUACUGGUGUCGGCCAGCGCAACUCGAUUCGGAGUCCUAGUGGACAUUCCAGGUUGGAGUGUGUCAGUUUAAUUGUCACAUCCCAGCCCGGGCGGGACCAUUUCCCGGGCUCGACUCCG